rnacentral:rRNA from 1 species
GUACACUCCUGCGGGAGGCAGCAGUGGGGAAUAUUGCACAAUGGGCGCAAGCCUGAUGCAGCCAUGCCGCGUGUAUGAAGAAGGCCUUCGGGUUGUAAAGUACUUUCAGCGGGGAGGAAGGCGAUAAGGUUAAUAACCUUGUCGAUUGACGUUACCCGCAGAAGAAGCACCGGCUAACUCCGUGCCAGCAGCCGCGGUAAUACGGAGGGUGCAAGCGUUAAUCGGAAUUACUGGGCGUAAAGCGCACGCAGGCGGUCUGUCAAGUCGGAUGUGAAAUCCCCGGGCUCAACCUGGGAACUGCAUUCGAAACUGGCAGGCUAGAGUCUUGUAGAGGGGGGUAGAAUUCCAGGUGUAGCGGUGAAAUGCGUAGAGAUCUGGAGGAAUACCGGUGGCGAAGGCGGCCCCCUGGACAAAGACUGACGCUCAGGUGCGAAAGCGUGGGGAGCAAACAGGAUUAGAAACCCCGGUAGUCCCAUGA